rnacentral:misc_RNA from 1 species
AACGCACGAGACCUGCGGACCUGCGGAGGGAUCAUUAUCGAAUAAAAGAGAUGUGCGUCUCGCACUCUCGAAUCCCAAUCACCUGUGCACCGAAUUUUUAUUAUACAUACUCAGAACAAAUGACAUGACUAAAUUUGACGUAUAACACAACUUUCAGCAACGGAUCUCU